UGAGUUGGUUCCCUGAGUCUGGGGAUGGGGGUGAGGAUAAGGAUGAUUCUGUUGCCUGGGUCCAAGUCCGGGUCCCCGCUGCAGAAUCUUCCUGGCCACUGGAAGGCUUUAUGGCAGCAGCCACGUGAGGAGUCCAGCAGGUGGUUAAUGGGUUUUGGUGGGUCAGGGUGCAGGACGUGCAGCUUCAGAGCCUGGAGCCCCAGCACACCCAUCACCCCAGCACAUGACUGAGCUGUCUUGACUGGGCCAGUAUGGAGCUGCCCGAGGAGGGCAGAUCCUUGUGAGAGCCCCAGGGCCAGGAAGGUGCUUGGGUGGCCUAAGCUCUUUGGCCAGCAUCAGAUAUGCCUGGUAGGACUCAAGUUAGGGAGGGUGCAAGCAGGAGUGGGGAAUUGUGUAGGUGGAAAUAUGAUGCUGUCAUUCUUAUGAGGGAAAGGCUUCAGUAAAGUCUUGACACUGUCUCCUACGGCAUUCUCCGAGAGAAACAGGCAGCUCACGGCUUGGACAGGUGUACUCUUCGAUGGGUGAAAAAUUGUCUGGAUCAUUGUGCCCAGAGAGUUGUGGUGAACAGAGUUAAGUCCAUUUGGCAGCUGGUCACAAGCGGUAGGGCUCAGUGUUGGGGUCAGUCUUGUUUAAUAUCUUUAGCAGGAUGAAGGGAUUGAGUGUACCCUUAGUAAGUUUGCCAAUGACACCAAAUACAGUGUAAGAGAAGUGGGAAGGCUCUGCAGAAGGACCUGGACAGGCUGAGUCAACGGGCUAAGGCUGAUUGUACGAGAUUCAACAAGGCCAAGUGCUGGGUUCUGCCUCUCCGCUAUUUCAUUCAAUCACAACAACCCCAUGCAGUUCCACUGGCUUAGGGAAAAGGGGCUGGAAAGCUGUCUGGUGGAAAAGGACCUGGGGAUGUUGGUGGAGAGCCAUCUCAAUGUGAGCCGGGACUGUGCCCAGGUGGCCAAGAAGGCCAACAGCAUCCUGGCUUCUAUCAGAAAGGGUGUGGCCAGCAGGAGUAGGGAAGUGAUUGUCCUCCCCUAGUCCAUGCUGGUGAGGCUGUACCUCAAAUCCUGUGCUCAGCUUUGGGAUCAAGUUGCUGGAAUGUAUGCAGAGGAUGGCAACAAAGCUGGUGAAGGGUCUACAGCACAAGAGGGAACAGCAGCAGCUGAGGGAACUGAGGUUCUUUAGUCUGGAGAACAGGAGGCUGAGCGGAGACCUUAUCGCCUUCUACAACUCCCUGAAAAGAGGUUGUAGCGAGUGUUGGACUUUGCCUUGCCAGCCCACUGUUGCCAUGGGUAUGCCAGUCUUCAUACUCGCUGGUCUCCUUGUGCAUUGUGUGUUCUUGGUCUCCAUUUUUGACAUCUACUUCAGCUCUCCCCUGGUUCAUGGUAUGACUCCUCAUCAGACUCCUCUACCACCUCCGGCAAAACGCCUCGUGCUCUUCGUUGCUGAUGGUCUGCGGGCAGAUUCGCUGUAUGAAAUGAGCAGCAACAAUACGACUCAAGCACCUUACUUGCGGGGCAUUCUAGAGAAUAAUGGCAGCUGGGGAGUCUCUCACACCCGGGUCCCAACAGAAUCCAGGCCAGGGCACGUUGCACUUAUAGCUGGAUUUUAUGAAGAUGUCAGUGCAGUUGCUAAAGGAUGGAAGGAGAAUCCAGUGGAAUUUGACUCUGUUUUCAAUGAAAGUAAAUAUACUUGGAGCUGGGGAAGCCCAGAUAUUUUGCCGAUGUUUGCUAAAGGUGCUACUGGGGAUCACGUCUAUACAUUUUCUUACUCGGCAGAAAGUGAAGACUUUGGGGCAGAAGAUGCAGCCAGGCUUGACACGUGGGUUUUCAAUCAUGUUAAGAGCUUCUUUAAUUCUUCCAGAAGUAAUCAAACAUUGUUCACUGCACUGAAUGAAGACAAAGUGGUUCUGUUCCUACAUUUGCUAGGCAUAGACACAAAUGGACAUGCUCAUCGGCCAUACUCAAGGGAAUACAAGGAGAAUAUCAAAAAGGUUGAUGAGGGUAUAAAAGAAAUUGCUUCAGUGAUUGAAAACUUCUAUGGAAAUGAUGGAAAAACUGCAUUUAUUUUAACUUCUGACCAUGGAAUGACAGACUGGGGAUCCCAUGGAGCUGGUCAUCCCUCAGAAACUCUAACACCACUGAUUGUUUGGGGUGCUGGGGUGAAUUCUCCACAGAAAGUCACAUCCCAGUCCUUUAAAGACAAUUUUUUGAAAGAAUGGAAACUGGAGGACUUGAAGAGGCUGGAUGUCAAUCAGGCUGAUAUUGCGCCACUGAUGGCUUCCCUUAUUGGUGUGCCUUUCCCUCUGAAUUCUGUGGGAACUCUGCCUCUUGAAUAUCUGAACAACAGUGCUCAUUUCAAAGCAGAGAGCAUAUUUACCAAUGCUGUUCAGAUUCUUGAGCAAUUUAAGGUUAAGAUGAGUCAGAAAAAGGAAACUACACUGUCAUUUCUGUUCACACCGUUCAAACCACUUUCUGAUUCUGAACAGAUCAACUUUUUAAAGAAAACGAGACUAUAUAUUCAGCAGCAGAAGUAUGAUGAAGCGGUAUCUCUGUGCAAAACCCUGAUUAACCUUGCUUUGGAAGGCUUGUCUUAUUACCAUACUUACGAUAGAUUAUUCCUGGGUCUGAGUAUUGCAAUGGGUUUUGUGGGCUGGACAACUUAUGUGAUUUUGGUUAUUAUCAAGACCCAUACCAAUCUGACCAAGACUGUCCGGAUUAAUAAUAAGGAAUCUACUGUUCUCUUCUACAGUUUUGUCUUUGUUGGAAUGAUAAUAGCUUUUUUCCUGUUAAUUCAAACAUGUCCUUGGACAUACUACGUAUACUGCCUCUUGCCAGUACCAGUAUGGUAUGCAGUUGUGAGAGAAUUUCCUGUUAUUCAAGACCUCACCACAAAUCUUUUGUCACUUCAUAUCAGUCAGUCUGUAGGAUUCCUCUUGGUUUGUACACUGGGAAUUGAAAUACUAGUCUUCAGCUUUUUCUACCGCUCUACACUUACUGUUGGUCUUCUUGUCUUUGCUGGCUGGCCAGUGAUCACACAGCUGUGGGUUAAAGCAAAGACAGCAACAUUGAUCUGGACUCUUCUGUGUGUGCUCCUGGCAAUAUUUCCUCUGAUGCCUGUUGUAGGAAGAGAAGCAAGUAUUCCUCUGGUAGUAGCAACUGGUUUGCUGACUCUCUUGAUCUCUUGCUUCUCAUUGGCAUCUCUUUGUAAAAGCGAAAAUAAGUACAGGAAUGAAGAUCUGAAAGUAUAUUUUUAUCAGAUAUUGAGUAUCACACUUUCAACAUACGUUGUGAGCAGUACCCAUGACAGUCUUAAGAAUAAACAAGGAUUGCCUGUAUUGAAUCAAGUUAUUAGCUGGAUGACUCUAGUUUCUUCUUUGGUGUUGCCGUUACUGAGCUCCACAUUUCUCUUUCAGCGACUGUUCAGCAUAUUACUCUCCCUGAUGUCCACCUACCUUCUCCUCAGCACAGGGUAUGAAGCUCUGUUUCCACUGGUGUUGUCUGGUUUGAUGUUUGUGUGGAUAAAUAUGGAGCAAGAAGCACUGCAGCACUAUGGUCUUUCACUCAAACCAAAGCUUGCUGUUUUCGACUUUGCCUAUGCUACUGAUAUAACUCAGUUUCGACAGCUCCACCUAGAUGAUGUCCGCAGGUCUUUCUUCUUUGUUUUCUUCAUAGUGACAGCAUUUUUUGGCACUGGAAACAUAGCUUCUGUUAACAGUUUUGAUCCUGCUUCUGUCUAUUGUUUCUUGACUGUGUUCAGUCCUUUCAUGAUGGGAGGCUUGCUUCUGCUGAAGAUUGUAAUCCCGUUUGUUCUGGUAUCAUGUGCUUUUGAAGCUGUUCAAGUCACAACACAACUGUCUUCUAAGAGGUACAGUAAGUGCUAGAUUUCUGUAUUAGUAGGGGUUCAAAUCCAUUUUGCAACAAUUCAGAAUUGUCAAAUCCCAUUCUAUGCAAAAAAUUUAUCAGCCAAUAUAUCACAUUGUUGCUUUUCUUUGUUAUUAUGGUUUGGGUUUUUUGUUUAGUGAUUUUGCAAGCUCAGGAAUUCUUUUCUUAGUGAUAAAUGAGUAUAAAUGGAAGUGCUGGACCUGUCUGAAACAAUCAGAUACUUAAUAUUCUUUGUUGACAAUAUGCAAAAGGAGCAAUUUUUUCCGCGUAGUGUAGAAAAAUAGGCAUAAUUCAAAGUCUGAGUUUUGUUUUAUAUUGCAUCUCUGCCUCUAGUACAGUAUUUUUAAAAUAACCCAAUUACAAUGUAAUCAAUUUCCAGCUUUGUAGCACUGACCUCGCCAGAAAUAGCCUUUAAAAAAAAAAAAAAAAGAAAUGUUGGAUGCCCUUCUAUUGCUGUUCAGUCCUUCCAGGUGUAUUCAGUAUUGCAUGUUUUUGCAGUAGGACUGGAUCGCUGCCAGUCUUUUCCCAUCUCUAAAGACUGCUGUGUCUGGAUUUGAAGUACCUUCACACAUUUCACUGUCACAAGAUUUUUAAUCUUUUUGUAACUGUUAGCCCUCCCUAUCGCUUUCAAUGGACCAAGUGCACGACUGAGUCCUUUGCUCCUCGUGUGAGAUUAUGGGUGGUUCUGAGACAGGGGAGGUCCCUGUCAGCCACGUGGUUUUGUGUUUGUCACGGUGGGAUACUGUGUGGGGUUGACCAAAAGUCUUGCUGUCAGUGGCAAGGGGACCACAGGGACUCUGUCCUGUGCAUUGCUCAGCUGAGCCAGAGAAAGGUAUACUUGCUCAGUACAAUGCCCUCUGCCUCUAUGUUUGUUUUUAUCCUGCCUGUGUCCUGACUGUUGUUUUCUUAUACAACACCACCAGAACUAAUGAGAGACAGGGCAACCUGAAGUCUGACUUCUUAUUGAAGGGGCGGCACAAGGCUCAUCAUCCCUUUUACCUUCUCUGCCUUAGCUGUGUGUGUGGUGUAAUUGGGCAGUCCCUGAACCACCCAGGAAGGAUGCUUGUUCUGCUCACUGAGGUUCAUACAAGAGCAGGGCUGUGUUGAGGCAUUGGGGUUGCUCAGAAGAUCAGCUAGCAAUUUCCAUUUCUAGGGCUCAAACAUCAUAAAGGUCAGCAUUUCCUAACUUGUGAACCCUUGCCUCGGCAGCACCAGUGAUAUGGCAGGCUUUUAUGGAAUGUGCCUAUGUGUGUGAGAGGGGAAACGAUAUCGACUUGUUAAACCAGAGGGCACGAGUACAUCUGUGCUGCUUAUGAGGCUGUGGUUAUAACUGGGGCUGGUAUUCAUGCCAGCUUCAUUUAGCUGUGCUCAGGUAACGAUAGCAAUGAUAGUGUCACAACAUCAGCCUUAGGAACAAGGCAGAAACCAUAAGGCAGGUGCAGGAUCCCUGGAGUGGUUAUGCUUUGCUUGUCAGAGCAUCCUGGAGUGUGUGCUGCACUCUGUAUUGCUCUAGAUGCAAUCUAGAUGCCCCUGCUAGAUGAAUUAAGCUAUCACAGGGGACAGUCUUGUCUUUGCUGUGUAUAAAUGUGCCCUGAAAUUAGCGUUGUCCUUCUGUUGCGAAAGGCUUCCUGCGGUUCAAAAGGGCAAAAAGUAGUUUUUUGUGAUUUGGACAAUUUGCUUUCAAACUUCCUGUUUAGAAAUAUUUAUAUUAUUUUUUGCUGUUCAUGGGGAAUGUUCUGUCAGAAUAUGAUCUUGCAGCUUGCCUGUGAAAACAGCCCUCUAGCUGAGUGUCUUCUAGGCACUGUGUUAUUACAGUGUCCUAUCUGAGUCAUAGGUAAGUGAAGAGAAGCCUUUCAGUGCAUCUAAAUAGACUGAGGUUUGUUGCAUCCUUUUUUGUUAAUGAAAUACAGCUGACGAAGGCAAUAUCAGAGACUUCCUCAUCAGGACUCGUUGGUAUGGGUGGCCCCCCAAUACACACUUGUGCAACACUGCAGCAGGGUGUUUUCCAAAAUAAAUCUUUGUAGAUUUGUGACAGCAGUGCUGAUAAAUUAACUAUAUUCUAGUUAAAGACUUUUCUGUUAAUGGGUCAGUUGUUUGCAACAUUGCUUCAGUGUCAUUAACUUAGAAACUAGUUUUAACCAGUUAUAGCAAUUGCUUUCGUGUAAUUUAGGAUUUACAUAGUUUAAUGAAAAGAAGAUUAGGUUAAUGGAGGGAGAAAAUAGCUCUGCGUGCUCUCUUUUGGUUCCUUUUACUAGCUGCAGCCUAGUUUCCAGAAGUAACCUGCGCUGCCUGACAGAUGCCCGUGGGUUUGGGAACACACCAUGAAAAUGCUGGGUGUUCCCAGCGCUGCUUAUGGGCACCCAGAGAUCUGGAAGUGGGGCAAACACCUCCCUUAGCAGCCUCCUGCCCAGCAGGGUGAUUGUCAGUGUAGGGCUGAUUGGCUUAGGGGUCUGACUGCCUAUACCAAACAGGUUUGCUCACUCUUGAGUCCAUCUUGACGUGUCUAAAUCUACUUUAUUUGGCCUAAUCAGCACAUGAGAUCCCUGCAUCAGGAAUGGGCUGGUGCUCUUUGUAAAAUGCUCUUGUUCUAUGGUAAAUGAUUUGUGUUAGGUUUCUCUGUCAAUAAAUCACAACUCUGUUAAUGUGAAAUGUCUUUUUCAAGCAGAGUGGGAUUACGAAUGCUAGAUGUUCCAGCCAUAUAUUUUAACUGUUCUCUAAUAAACUGAAAUAUAUCUGAGUGAUUGAAACACAAGUGCAAGAAAUUGUAUCUUCUUUUAAUUUCUUUAUGGGGGUUUUAAUAGGCUUUGUAACAUCUGUGGCCAUGAAUAAAGUUUGAUAGCCUGGUUCUUUUUUUCCCUCUGCAGCCUUUUCUUCAUUGUUCUUGUGAUUUCAGACAUUAUGGCUUUGCAUUUUUUCUUCUUGGUUAAAGAUUAUGGAAGCUGGCUGGAUAUUGGAACAAGGUAUACCUCCAUAUAGAGUCCCCUGUGAAUUAAUGAGCUUUGUGCAAAUAUGUUGGUGGCUACCAAGACUCAUGUGUCCUCCCUCCCCCUAGCUGUGUAAGGCAUUAGCCACUAUCUGCUGGUGAUGUCGUUGACCAUAUUUAUGAUGUUGAUGAAUGGACUGGCCCAGCUGCUAACUACGAAAAGACUUGAACUUCCCAAAAGGACUAAGCACCAUUCCUCAUGAU